CACAGGAAUGAAGACAUAUACCAACAGCUGGAGGGCCCAGCACAGGCCCAAGGAAGGGCCAAUGAUCCUGGGAACUCUGAUCUUCAGCUGUGCCCACUUGGAAUUAGUUGUGAAGGCUGAUGGCGAUGCCCUGAAAAACCCUUAGCAGGCAUGUGGAACUCUGGGACAUGCCCCUGGAAACUCUAUGAAAAUAUAAGCCAAGCUUCACCUUGCUCACUGGACCAGAGAGUAGACCCACAGAACUGAUUCUCAGCCAGUCUUUUCCAACAGCUUAAUUCUGUUCAUCAAAUGGAUCCCUCAGAUAGUGACAGCUUUUGGGUAGAAGAAUUAUCCAGCCUGAGCAUCAGAUCCAGCAAAGAAGAGAAGCGUGAGUAAGUGCUCAUGUUCAGCAGUGGAAAUGUGGGGGAGAAAUAGAUCUGUGGCACCAACAGAAAGGGCAGAAGAAUAAUUCCAUAGC